UAGCCUCGUGGUUAAGGCUAUGGAUUGCCAAUCCGGAGACGGCGGGUUCGAUUCCCGU
rfam:Aedes albopictus isolate Foshan contig120035, whole genome shotgun sequence.